GCCUGGGUGGCUCAGUCCGUUGAGCGUCUGACUUCGGCUCAGGUCGUGAUCUCAUGGUCUGUGAGUUCGAGCCCCGCGUCGGGCU
rnacentral:tRNA from 1 species